UACGUAGGGAGCGAGCGUUGUCCGGAUUUACUGGGUGUAAAGGGUGCGUAGGCGGCUAUGCAAGUCAGUAGUGAAAUCCAUGGGCUUAACCCAUGAACUGCUAUUGAAACUGCACAGCUUGAGUGAAGUAGAGGUAGGCGGAAUUCCCGGUGUAGCGGUGAAAUGCGUAGAGAUCGGGAGGAACACCAGUGGCGAAGGCGGCCUACUGGGCUUUAACUGACGCUGAGGCACGAAAGCGUGGGGAGCAAACAGG
rnacentral:rRNA from 1 species